rnacentral:rRNA from 1 species
GAUGAACGCUGGCGGCGUGCUUAACACAUGCAAGUCGAACGGAAAGGCCCUGCUCUUGUGGGGCGCUCGAGUGGCGAACGGGUGAGUAACACGUGAGUAACCUGCCCUUGACUUUGGGAUAACUUCAGGAAACUGGGGCUAAUACCGGAUAGGAUCUCCUGCUGCAUGGUGGUGGUUGGUAAGUUUCGGCGGUUGGGGAUGGACUCGCGGCUUACCGGCUUCUUGGUGGGGUAGUGGAUUACCAAGGCUUUGACGGGUAGCCGGCCUGGGAGGGUGGCCGGCCACCAUGGGACUGCGAUACGGAGCAGAAUCCUACGGGCGGCAGCGGUGGGGAGUAUGGCACAGUGGGGGGAAGCCUGAGGCGAAGACGUCGCGUGCGGGAUGACGGGUUACGGGUUGUAAACCGCUUUCGACUGUGCCGAAGCGUGCGUGACGGUAAUGGGUAAAGAAGCAACGGCUAACUACGUG